UUUCAUGAAAAUUGGAAAAUAUUUUGGCC
rnacentral:piRNA from 1 species